UCCUUUUGUUGAUAAUUUAAGGUCUAACCUGCCCACUGAGAUUUUAAAUGGCCGUGGUAUUUUGACCGUGCUAAGGUAGCAUAAUCAUUAGUUUUUUAAUUAAAAACUGGAAUGAAAGGUUGGAUAAGAAAAUAGCUGUCUCUGUUAAAUUUAAUUAGAAUUUUAUUUUUAAGUUAAAAAGCUUAAUUAUUAUUAAAAGACGAGAAGACCCUAUAGAGUUUAAUUAUUUAAUAAAAAAUAUAUUUUAGUAUUUAUUUAUUUAUUUUAUUAAAUAAUUUAAUUGGGGUGAUUGAAAAAUUUAUUUAACUUUUUUUAUUUUAAAACAUUAAUUUAUGAGUAUAUGAUCCAAUAUUUUUGAUUAUAAGAUAAAAUUACCUUAGGGAUAACAGCGUAAUUUUUUUAGAAAGUUCAUAUUAAAAAAAAAGAUUGCGACCUCGAUGUUGGAUUAAAAUAAAUUUUUGGCGUAGAAGCUAAAAAUAUUAGGUCUGUUCGACCUUUAAAAUUUUACAUGAUCU
rnacentral:rRNA from 1 species